rnacentral:rRNA from 1 species
AUUGAACGCUGGCGGAAUGCUUUACACAUGCAAGUCGAGCGGCAGCGCGGGGGGCAACCCUGGCGGCGAGCGGCGAACGGGUGAGUAACAUAUCGGAACGUACCCAGUCGUGGGGGAUAACUAUCCGAAAGGAUAGCUAAUACCGCAUACGUCCUGAGGGAGAAAGCGGGGGAUCGCAAGACCUCGCGCGAUUGGAGCGGCCGAUAUCGGAUUAGCUAGUUGGUGGGGUAAAGGCUCACCAAGGCGACGAUCCGUAGCGGGUCUGAGAGGACGACCCGCCACACUGGAACUGAGACACGGUCCAGACUCCUACGGGAGGCAGCAGUGGGGAAUUUUGGACAAUGGGGGCAACCCUGAUCCAGCCAUUCCGCGUGAGUGAAGAAGGCCUCGG